GGUAUUGAUUGGUGCUUGCAUCAUGAUUUACAUUUGAGUGAGUGGCGAACUGGUGAGUAACACGUGGGAAACCUGCCCAGAAGCGGGGGAUAACACCUGGAAACAGAUGCUAAUACCGCAUAACAACUUGGACCGCAUGGUCCGAGUUUGAAAGAUGGCUUCGGCUAUCACUUUUGGAUGGUCCCGCGGCGUAUUAGCUAGAUGGUGGGGUAACGGCUCACCAUGGCAAUGAUACGUAGCCGACCUGAGAGGGUAAUCGGCCACAUUGGGACUGAGACACGGCCCAAACUCCUACGGGAGGCAGCAGUAGGGAAUCUUCCACAAUGGACGAAAGUCUGAUGGAGCAACGCCGCGUGAGUGAAGAAGGGUUUCGGCUCGUAAAACUCUGUUGUUAAAGAAGAACAUAUCUGAGAGUAACUGUUCAGGUAUUGACGGUAUUUAACCAGAAAGCCACGGCUAACUACGUGCCAGCAGCCGCGGUAAUACGUAGGUGGCAAGCGUUGUCCGGAUUUAUUGGGCGUAAAGCGAGCGCAGGCGGUUUUUUAAGUCUGAUGUGAAAGCCUUCGGCUCAACCGAAGAAGUGCAUCGGAAACUGGGAAACUUGAGUGCAGAAGAGGACAGUGGAACUCCAUGUGUAGCGGUGAAAUGCGUAGAUAUAUGGAAGAACACCAGUGGCGAAGGCGGCUGUCUGGUCUGUAACUGACGCUGAGGCUCGAAAGUAUGGGUAGCAAACAGGAUUAGAUACCCUGGUAGUCCAUACCGUAAACGAUGAAUGCUAAGUGUUGGAGGGUUUCCGCCCUUCAGUGCUGCAGCUAACGCAUUAAGCAUUCCGCCUGGGGAGUACGGCCGCAAGGCUGAAACUCAAAGGAAUU
rnacentral:rRNA from 2 species